GAUGAACGCUAGCGGGAGGCUUAACACAUGCAAGUCGAGGGGUAGGGAAGCAAUUCCUGAGACCGGCGGACGGGUGCGUAACGCGUAUGCAACCUGCCUUAUACAGGGGGAUGGCCCAUGGAAACGUGGAUUAACACCCCAUAGGAUUACGGGAUAGCAUGAUUUUGUGAUUAAAACUGAGGUGGUAUAAGAUGGGCAUGCGUCUGAUUAGGUAGUUGGUAGGGUAAUGGCCUACCAAGCCGACGAUCAGUAGGGGUUCUGAGAGGAUUACCCCCCACACUGGUACUGAGACACGGACCAGACUCCUACGGGAGGCAGCAGUGAGGAAUAUUGGUCAAUGGCCGGAAGGUUGAACCAGCCAUCCCGCGUGCAGGAUGACGGCCCUAUGGGUUGUAAACUGCUUUUGUACCUGAAGAAUAGGCCCAACGAGUUGGGAUUUGCCGGUAAGGUAUGAAUAAGCAUCGGCUAACUCCGUGCCAGCAGCCGCGGUAAAAC
rnacentral:rRNA from 1 species